UUGACCUCGAAUCAGGUAGGAAUACCCGCUGAACUUAAGCAUAUCAAUAAGCGGAGGAAAAGAAACCAACAGGGAUUGCCUCAGUAACGGCGAGUGAAGCGGCAACAGCUCAAAUUUGAAAUCUGGCCUCUGGCCCGAGUUGUAAUUUGCAGAGGAUGCUUCGGGCGCGGUGCCUUCCAAGUCCCCUGGAACGGGGCGCCGGAGAGGGUGAGAGCCCCGUACGGUUGGCGGCCAAGCCUGUGUGAAGCUCCUUCGACGAGUCGAGUAGUUUGGGAAUGCUGCUCUAAGCGGGAGGUAGACCCCUUCUAAAGCUAAAUACCGGCCAGAGACCGAUAGCGCACAAGUAGAGUGAUCGAAAGAUGAAAAGCACUUUGAAAAGAGGGUUAAACAGCACGUGAAAUUGUUGAAAGGGAAGCGCUUGCGACCAGACGUGCGCCGGGGUGCUCAGCGGGCGUUCUCGCCCGUGCACUCGCCCCGGCGCAGGCCAGCGUCGGUUUGGGUGGGGGGAUAAAGGCGUCUGGAAUGUGGCUCCUCCGGGAGUGUUAUAGCCAGGCGUGCCAUGCCUCCGCCUAGACCGAGGUACGCGUUCU
rnacentral:rRNA from 1 species